GUCCCCGUAGCUCAGUUGGAUAGAGCGGUUGCCUCCUAAGCAACAGGUCGUACGUUCGAAUCGUAUCGGGGACACCA
rnacentral:tRNA from 1 species